rnacentral:lncRNA from 1 species
GUGGCAACGUUAGAGUGUCUUCAGUUCCCAGGGGACCCCAACUGUGCUUGCAGGGUGCUGGUAACUUUGGUACAGUCAAGCCUCAAAGCUUCAGACCAAUUAGAAGCCCCUCAGAAUCAUGGAAAAGUCUGAACUGCUUCAGAGGGUAUCAUGAGCCCAACUAACCAUCACCAAAGCGUUUCCAGGGUUGGAAUCCUGUAGGCCUUGACUUAGCAUGUAGACCAGAUGCAUUUUGCGGUUGGCGGCACAGCUGUCUGUGGCCUGGAAGCACCGUGCUCCAAAUGCUUUCAUGUUUACAGAUUAGACCUCCCCCUGCUGCUGAGCUGUGUGCUGAGCCAGCUCUUU